rnacentral:rRNA from 1 species
AACGAACGCUGGCGGCGUGCUUAACACAUGCAAGUCGAACGCGAAAGUUUUCUUCGGAAGACGAGUAGAGUGGCGCACGGGUGAGUAACGCGUGGGUAACCUACCCCUCGGCGGGGGAUAACUACUCGAAAGGGUGGCUAAUACCGCAUGAGACCACGAGGUCUUCGGACCUUGAGGCCAAAGGCUGCAUCGGCUUGCCGGUGUAGUCACCGGAGGAUGGGCCCGCGUCCGAUUAGCUAGUUGGUGAGGUAAUGGCUCACCAAGGCGACGAUCGGUAGCUGGUCUGAGAGGAUGAUCAGCCACACUGGAACUGGAACACGGUCCAGACUCCUACGGGAGGCUG